rnacentral:rRNA from 1 species
CGGCGUGGAUUAGGCAUGCAAGUCGUACGCACAGCAAUGUGAGUGGCGCAAGGGUGAGUAAUACGAAGGUAACCAACCCUGAAGUUGGGCAUAGCCGCGGGAAACUGCGGGUAAUUCCCAGCGACGUUGCGAGAUGGCAUCAUCUUGCAACCAAAGGUGUGAUUCCGCUUUAGGACGGGCCUUCGUGGUAUUAGGUAGUUGGUGAGGUAACGGCUCACCAAGCCUACGAUGCCUACCGGGUGUGAGAGCAUGACCCGGCACACUGGAACUGAGACACUGUCCAGACACCUACGGGUGGCUGCAGUCGAGAAUCUUCGGCAAUGGGCGAAAGCCUGACCGAGCGACGCCGCGUGAGGGAUUGAAGGCCUUCGGGUUGUAAACCUCUUUCGUAGAGGAGGAAGGGGCUGUGAAGAACAGUCCUUGACCUAUUCUAGGAAGAAGCUUGGGCUAAGUUCGUGCCAGCAGCCGCGGUAAGACGAACCAAGCGAACGUUAUUCGGAAUUACUGGGCUUAAAGCGCGUGUAGGCGGACUACCACGUUGGUUGUUGAAAUCCCCCGGCUUAACCGGGGAACUGGCACCAAUACGAGUAGUCUGGAGGUGGGUAGGGGAGACUGGAACUUCCGGUGGAGCGGUGAAAUGCGUUGAGAUCGGAAGGAACGCCCGCGGCGAAAGCGAGUCUCUGGACCCAUACUGACGCUGAGACGCGAAAGCCAGGGGAGCAAACGGGAUUAGGUACCCCGGUAGUCCUGGCUGUAAACAUU